rnacentral:misc_RNA from 1 species
GAUGAAGAACGUAGCGAAAUGCGAUAAGUAAUGUGAAUUGCAGAAUUCAGUGAAUCAUCGAAUCUUUGAACGCACCUUGCGCCUUUUGGUAUUCCGAAAGGCACACCUGUUUGAGCGUCAUGAAUACCUCAAUCUCCAUCUUUUCUUCGGAUUGAUGGGUGACUUGGAUGUUGAGCCCUGCUGGUAUGCUAUAUCAGCUGGCUUUAAACUUAUUAGCCGGCUCUGUACUGGAUCGGUUUGACUCGACGUGAUAAUAUUAUCGUUGAGGAUGCAUGUCUCAUGCAGCCGGAAAGUAUCAAAGCAGCUUCUAGCUUGCCUUUAGUGCACUUUUACAUUUUAGUCCUCAGAUCAGGUGGGACUACCCGCUGAACUUAAGCAUAUCAAUAAGCGGAGGA